GGUGGGGUUCCCGAGCGGCCAAAGGGAGCAAACUGUAAAUCUGCCGUCAUCGACUUCGAAGGUUCGAAUCCUUCCCCCACCACCA
rnacentral:tRNA from 3 species